rnacentral:rRNA from 1 species
UACAGAGGGUGCAAGCGUUAAUCGGAAUUACUGGGCGUAAAGCGAGCGUAGUCGGUUAUUUAAGUCGGGUGUGAAAGCCCCGGGCUCAACCUGGGAAUUGCAUUCGAUACUGGAUAGCUAGAGUUCGGCAGAGGGAAGCGGAAUUUCCGGGUGUAGCGGUGAAAUGCGUAGAUAUCGGAAGGAACAUCAGUGGCGAAAGCGACUUCCUGGACCAGUACCGACGUUCAGGCACGAAAGCGUGGGAGCAAACAGG